rnacentral:rRNA from 1 species
UUGGAGGGCAAGUCUGGUGCCAGCAGCCGCGGUAAUUCCAGCUCCAAUAGCGUAUAUUAAAGUUGUUGCAGUUAAAAAGCUCAUAGUUGAAUUUCGGGGUUAGUAGGUUGGUCAUGCCACUGGUAUGUACUGGUCUCACUGAUUCCUCCUUCCUGAUGAGCCGUAAUGCCAUUAAUUUGGUGUUGCGAGGAAUCUGGACUGUUACUUUGAAAAAAUUAGAGUGUUUAAAGCAAGCUAACGCUUGAAUACAUUAGCAUGGAAUAAUGAAAUAGGACGUUCGAUCCUAUUUUGUUGGUUUCUAGGAUUGACGUAAUGAUUAAUAGGGAUAGUUGGGGGCAUUAGUAUUCAAUUGUCAGAGGUGAAAUUCUUGGAUUUAUUGAAGACUAACUACUGCGAAAGCAUUUGCCAAGGAUGUUUUCAUUAAUCAAGAACGAAAGUUAGGGGAUCGAAGACGAUCAGAUACCGUCGUAGUCUUAACCAUAAACUAUGCCGACUAGGGAUCGGAUGAUGUUAUUUUUAAUGACUCAUUCGGCGCCUUACGGGAAAC